AGAAUCAAAUUAUCUUGUCAUUUCCCUUAGCUUAACGUUCAUGAGUAAUGAAAGAAGAACAAACUCAGCACACAAUCUCUUUUCUACAGGAUUCUCUACUAGCUAUCUAAGCAAAUAUACUUUCUUUCUCUGGUCAUCCUGAUGUAAUCCAGGAAUCUCUUUGACAUUGGUGCACAAAGUUUCUACAAACUCAAAAUAAGGGACAUCCCAUGAAUUUAGGGACAAGAUCAGAAAAAGUACCCAUUGAAAUUGAAGGAGGUCUCUUGCCCUCAACUACUCUGAGUCCAUGUGCCCUCCAGUCUUCAAGGUUCAGUCCAGUCUGGUUUAGACUGCAAGAGGAAGUACUGAGAGCCAGAUGGGAACCUGUGACUUCUUUGAUACUUCUACUCAAAGUGGUAAGGUAAUUUUUACCAAAGUAAUACACAUAAUAAUUGAUCAAGGAGAGUUUGAACUUGGAAUUUCUGUCUCAGUUCUUUUCUCAGUUCUGUCUCAGUAACUUUUCUACCAUACUAGAGUCUCCGAAGUAUCUCUAUGAAAUUUACUGUUAAGAUUUUAGGUGACUGAUAUCCCCUUUUUCCUUUUUUAAAGGUAUAAAAAAAAUCAACUUACCCCCACAGAAUAUUGGAUAACAGCUUGAUGAAUUCUUGGUUAUUAUAACAACAUUGCUUAGUCCAACAUUGCUCAUUAUAUAUAUAUUUUAAAAUAGUAGCUGGAAUGUUGAUGAUAAAUCUUGUAACCUUUGUAUCUUAUACAAAAUAUCUGAAUGCUAGCAAGAAUAAGUUCCAAGGGAAUGGUAUCUGAGAUAGAUUAUCAUAAAGUUGCAUGGCAUGUUGACUUUAUUAACAGUGCUUUUACAAUAUGCCUCAUGCAAUAUAUAGAACAAAUAGCAUACAUAAUGAAAAUUUAUUAUAGAAUAUGACAGGCAAUUUAUUAUAAUGGAGACUGGGAUGAUGUCCUAGCCAAGAAGAUCUGGUUUCAAGUUGAUCUAUGAUACAUACUGGUUAUGAGAUACUGGGCCACCUAACCUGUCAAUGUUCAAACAUUUAUGUAGGACUAUAACUUGAAGAAAAUGUGUUGGGAGAAAAAAGUGUUCCUCAUUGGUGUAUUUCCUAUACUGAUGAAAUUAUUUUUCCAGUCCCCAUCCCAUCUGAAUUCUAGAAUAUAAUAUAAUGCAAUUAUAUAGUUCUUUAGAAUUUACGUGCCACCCUCAUCUCACAAUACAGUACUUUGCACAUUAGGGAAAAAAUGAAAACAAUGAGAUUCAGAAAUUUACUCACUUUCAGAACACCAAACAAUGACACUUACAGAGCCAGAACUCCAAACCAUUUAGUCUGACUGAUUCAGUAUUUGUUCCCAUGUUCCAUAUCUCAUGAAAUUUUAGCAUUUCAAAUAAAGAAGAGAAAAAGAAAGUGAAAAACA
rnacentral:lncRNA from 1 species